ensembl:snRNA U6 U6 spliceosomal RNA
GUGCUCGCUUUGGCAGCACAUAUACUAAAAUUGGAACGAUACAGAGAAGAUUAGCAUGGCCCCUGCACAAGGAUGACACGCAAAUUCGUGAUGCAUUCCAUAUUGAA